rnacentral:rRNA from 1 species
CCUACGGGUGGCAGCAGUGAGGAAUAUUGGUCAAUGGGCGCGAGCCUGAACCAGCCAAGUAGCGUGAAGGAUGACUGCCCUACGUGUUGUAAGCUUCUUUUAUAGAGGAAUAAAGUGAGGCACGUGUGCCUUUUUGUAUGUACUUUAUGAAUAAAGAUCGGCUAACUCCGUGCCAGCAGCCGCGGUAAUACGGAGGAUCCGGGCGUUAUCCGGAUUUAUUGGGUUUAAAGGGAGCGUAGACGGGUUGUUAAGUCCGUUGUGAAAGUUUGCGGCUCAACCGUAAAAUUGCAAUUGAUACUGGCAGCCUUGAGUACAGUUGAGGUAGGCGGAAUUCGUGGUGUAGCGGUGAAAUGCUUAGAUAUCACGAAGAACGCCGAUUGCGAAGGCAGCCUACUAAACUGCCACUGACAUUGAUGCUCGAAAGUGUGGGUAGCAAACAGGAUUAGAUACCCUUGUAGUC